UCUUAGCCCUAAUAGAAGAGAUAUCCUUUCCUUGCCUCCUUUAGGCAAGAAAUAUAUAGCGGAUAGCAGGAACCAUC
rnacentral:sRNA from 1 species